rnacentral:rRNA from 1 species
GACGAACGCUGGCGGCGUGCUUAACACAUGCAAGUCGAACGGAAAGGCCCUGCUUUUGUGGGGUGCUCGAGUGGCGAACGGGUGAGUAACACGUGAGUAACCUGCCCUUGACUUUGGGAUAACUUCAGGAAACUGGGGCUAAUACCGGAUAGGAGCUCCUGCUGCAUGGUGGGGGUUGGAAAGUUUCGGCGGUUGGGGAUGGACUCGCGGCUUAUCAGCUUGUUGGUGGGGUAGUGGCUUACCAAGGCUUUGACGGGUAGCCGGCCUGAGAGGGUGACCGGCCACAUUGGGACUGAGAUACGGCCCAGACUCCUACGGGAGGCAGCAGUGGGGAAUAUUGCACAAUGGGCGGAAGCCUGAUGCAGCAACGCCGCGUGCGGGAUGACGGCCUUCGGGUUGUAAACCGCUUUCGCCUGUGACGAAGCGUGAGUGACGGUAAUGGGUAAAGAAGCACCGGCUAACUACGUGCCAGCAGCCGCGGUGAUACGUAGGGUGCGAGCGUUGUCCGGAUUUAUUGGGCGUAAAGGGCUCGUAGGUGGUUGAUCGCGUCGGAAGUGUAAUCUUGGGGCUUAACCCUGAGCGUGCUUUCGAUACGGGUUGACUUGAGGAAGGUAGGGGAGAAAGGAAUUCCUGGUGGAGCGGUGGGAAUGCGCAGAUAUCAGGAGGAACACCAGUGGCGAAGGCGGUUUUUCUGGGCCUUUCCUGACGCUGAGGAGCGAAAGCGUGGGGAGCGAACAGGCUUAGAUACCCUGGUAGUCCACGCUGUAAACGGUGGGUACUAGGUGUGGGGUCCAUUCCACGGGUUCCGUGCCGUAGCUAACGCUUUAAGUACCCCGCCUGGGGAGUACGGCCGCAAGGCUAAAACUCAAAGGAAUUGACGGGGCCCCGCACAAGCGGCGGAGCAUGCGGAUUAAUUCGAUGCAACGCGUAGAACCUUACCUGGGUUUGACAUGGAUCGGGAGUGCUCAGAGAUGGGUGUGCCUCUUUUGGGGUCGGUUCACAGGUGGUGCAUGGCUGUCGUCAGCUCGUGUCGUGAGAUGUUGGGUUAAGUCCCGCAACGAGCGCAACCCUUGUUCACUGUUGCCAGCACGUUAUGGUGGGGACUCAGUGGAGACCGCCGGGGUCAACUCGGAGGAAGGUGGGGAUGACGUCAAGUCAUCAUGCCCCUUAUGUCAGGGCUUCACGCAUGCUACAAUGGCUGGUACAGAGAGUGGCGAGCCUGUGAGGGUGAGCGAAUCUCGGAAAGCCGGUCUCAGUUCGGAUUGGGGUCUGCAACUCGACCUCAUGAAGUCGGAGUCGCUAGUAAUCGCAGAUCAGCAACGCUGCGGUGAAUACGUUCCCGGG